AUCAUCUCCGGGCCCGACGGGGGCUGGGGGAAUGGAACGGGGCGAUUCGGUCCCAGCUAGAGGGAAGUGAAAAUCGGGACUCGAGACGGACUAGAAGGCAUAGUUUUAAAUCCCGUUUAACUUUCUGAGCCUUGGUCUUCGCUGACAAACGAGAGCAUGGAUGUCAGGAAGGAAGCAGUCAAGAGAGGAGAGGAUUGCCCCCUGGCUAGCCAGAAGGGGUCAGAGUCUGAAUGGAGACUAAACUCUGGGGUGCUAAUCACUACAUUCUGUGGAAUCCCAGAUGAGAGAUGGGAGAGAAGAGGCUAAUAAUCUAAUUGCAGAUCUGGGAGAUGGGAUUAUGGAGACAGAACUGAUCUUUGGUGUCUGUGCAUGAAGAAAUAAACCAAAUCUGCAUCUACAAAACCGUGAGAGAGAAGAGAGAGCGGUCAGUAAGUCUGCUGAGAUUUCAGUCAUCCGGUGUGACUGUGGCAAGACCUGAUACCUUAUUUUGACAGAAGAAUUCCCAAGUAUUUUCCCCCAUAUCUACUCUUGUUGGUUUUACAAAAGGAGCAUCACAUGGCUUCUGCCCUCCUGGAGUAUACUGUCUAGCUGCGAAGGAAAGAAAAUGGAAAGAAUGCGGGGGGUGAGGGGAGAAGGAGGAGAGGAAGAAGGAGGAAGAGAAGGAGGAAGAGAAACAGCCUUCUUUACUACAGCAGGUGCCAGUCAACCCCUAUUUUCCGGUGGAGAAGCAGUGCUGAUGGGAAUGUCCAAGUCAGGAAGUAACAGACAAAGUGGCCAGCUCUGCUCAUGCCUUCCCCCUCGAACCUGCUCUGCCUCUGGGGUGCUCUCUGAUUCCAGUAUUCUCACUAUUAGUCUGGUCCAAACAUGGAUACAGACCACUCCCCUCGUUCGACGAGGCUGGGUUUAUCCAAACGAUCUGCAUCAAGUCAACACAAGGGACCCCGGGCCUUGAAGACUCAGUCCUGGUCCACAUUCUGCCUAAAGGGCAUUUCUAGCACCAGAGAAAAGCAGAACAUCAUAGGCACGACACUGGCCUGCUUUCUUCCGGCUUCUGCUACAGGAUCCUCUGCUCACUAUUUAGAGGCAUUCUCCCGGUCUCUUUGCCAUCUUCUGAGCCAAGGUCAAAGAUUCCAGUUCUGAUACGGACAGGAACAACCUUUCUGGAGGACGAUUUGACAGCACUGAUCAAAAAAUCUUUAAAAUAUGCAUUGCUGUUGUUGCGACAUUACUAAAUUGUGACACAGCUAUUCCAUUUAUAGAAAUAUUCCAAGGAAAUAAAAAUAGACCGUGGACAAAGAUUUAAUCUACAGCACCCAUCAGGGCGCUAUUUACAUAAUAAUGAAAGAACUCACAUGCUCAAACCUGGGGGUUAAUUAAAUAAAUUACGGUAUAUGCUUAGAA